GUCUACAGCCACGCCACCCUGAACGUGCCCGAGCCCAUCUGACCUCGGAAGCUAAGCAGGGUCUGGCCUGGUUAGCACUUGGAUGGGAGACCAGCUACGAAAACCAGGUGCUGUAGGAA
rnacentral:rRNA from 1 species